GGAAAAAUGCAUUUUCACCUGUGAUUCCCUUAAUACCAUAAUUUCUUACCCUCUUUUGUAUUUCUUUUCCUCUCUUUUGAAUGUCUUAUCUCCUUUAUUGUAUCUUAAUACUAUUUUGUCUUACACUCCCCUUUAGUAUAUCUUAUCCCCACAUUUUUUUCCCUCGUGUUUCUGUUACACUGCCCUCCCUUGUGUGUCUACUACUGCAUUCCUGCCCCUUUUUGUGACUCUUCC